UCCACCUGAAAAAUCAAGAAACAACAUUGUUCUAUUACAAACUAAGCUUGCUUUCAUCAUUAGUGUUCAUAAUAAAUCAAAUGAUUUGAAUUCUUGCCACGUCAUUCUCAAAAGUACUCAAUAAAGAAAA